rnacentral:lncRNA from 1 species
CGCAACCUCUCAUCUUCUUACUCCUUUCUUCGGUUUUGGCUUGUAUACAUGUCCAAGUCGCCUCGGAAUGUGAACUUCCAUGGAACAAGCCUGAACCCUCGGGUACGUCCUGGGUAUUCGGGAUUCCCGAGGACCAUUGUGAGCUCAUCAUUCUCUCACGCACCGUCAACGUCCCAUCCUUAACAUCUUUAAUAAUCUUAUCAAGCUUUGUGACCGCUUCACGUAACUGCUCAUCCAAGACCAGCGUCCCAUCAUCUGGGUUUAUCUCACCUCCAUGAGAGUAAUACCAGUUUUUUGAUCAUUCGGGCCAAUCAAUUGUUCCUGGUACGAUACCCCGAUCAAUCAAGCAUUUUUCCAUCUUGUUCCAUUUGGAAAUUGCUUUGGCGUAACCACCUCGCCUUAGCUUAUGAUGGUACUCCUUCCCCCUAGCACUGCCUGUGUUCUUGGCGACCUUGUUCUUACUGUCUUCGAUGCUCUUGUAUUGUACAAAUGCCUCCCAGUGGUCCUUACAUUGUGGAUACACAGUAAAAUCUGGAGUUCGGCCCUUCUUAAUAUAUGUGGUAUCCAACAUCUUCUUGAAUGUCUGGAAUUAUGUGGCCAUCUUCUUCACUGUCCACGCUUUCACAUCAUUUUCAAUAUAUCCGUCGGGAAAUGUGAAAUAUUUCUUAACUUCUUCCCACAGCAUAUCCUUUUCUGGAGCGCGUAUGGAUUAGUCGUUUUGC